rnacentral:rRNA from 1 species
AUUGAACGCUGGCGGCAGGCCUAACACAUGCAAGUCGAGCGGAUGAAGGGAGCUUGCUCUUGGCUUCAGCGGCGGACGGGUGUGUAAUGCCUAGGAAUCUGCCUGGUCGUGGGGGAUACCGUACGGAAACGGGCGCUAAUACCGCAUACGUCCUGAGGGAGAAAGUGGGGGUUCUUCGGACUUCACGCUAUCAGAUGAGCCUAGGUCGGAUUAGCUAGUUGGUGGGGUAGAGGCUUACCAAGGCGACGAUCCGUAACUGGCCUGAGAGGGUGAUCAGUCACUGUGGAACUGAGAGACGAUCCAGGCACCUACGGAAGGCAGCGGUGGGGAAUGGAGGAAAAUGGGCGGAAUCCUGAACAAGGGACGCCAGGUUGAUGAAGAAGGGCUGCGGAUUGUAAAGCGGUUUUAGGGUUGAAAAAGGGCAGUAGGAGAAGACCUGGCUGUGGUGACGGUACCUGCAGAAGAAGCACCGGCUAACUUCGUG